rnacentral:rRNA from 1 species
UUUGGUUAAGUUAGAAAGGGCGCACGGUGGAUGCCUUGACACUAGGAGUCGAUGAAGGACGGGACUAACGCCGAUAUGCUUCGGGGAGCUGUAAGUAAGCUUUGAUCCGAAGAUUUCCGAAUGGGGAAACCCACCAUACGUAAUGGUAUGGUAUCCUUAUCUGAAUACAUAGGGUAAGGAAGACAGACCCAGGGAACUGAAACAUCUAAGUACCUGGAGGAAGAGAAAGCAAAUGCGAUUUCCUGAGUAGCGGCGAGCGAAACGGAACAUAGCCCAAACCAAGAGGCUUGCCUCUUGGGGUUGUAGGACAUUCUAUACGGAGUUACAAAGGAACGAGGUAGACGAAGCGACCUGGAAAGGUCCGUCGUAGAGGGUAACAACCCCGUAGUCGAAACUUCGUUCUCUCUUGAAUGUAUCCUGAGUACGGCGGAACACGUGAAAUUCCGUCGGAAUCUGGGAGGACCAUCUCCCAAGGCUAAAUACUCCCUAGUGAUCGAUAGUGAACCAGUACCGUGAGGGAAAGGUGAAAAGCACCCCGGAAGGGGAGUGAAAGAGAUCCUGAAACCGUGUGCCUACAAAUAGUCAGAGCCCGUUAACGGGUGAUGGCGUGCCUUUUGUAGAAUGAACCGGCGAGUUACGAUCCCGUGCGAGGUUAAGCUGAAGAGGCGGAGCCGCAGCGAAAGCGAGUCUGAAUAGGGCGUUUAGUACGUGGUCGUAGACCCGAAACCAGGUGAUCUACCCAUGUCCAGGGUGAAGUUCAG